rnacentral:tRNA from 1 species
CAGGCUUGGGUAUAAUUUUAUUUACAAUAAAAUAUUUUGUUGUUCAAUUCAGCAGAGCUUGA